rnacentral:rRNA from 1 species
CCUGGUUGAUUCUGCCAGUAGUCAUAUGCUUGUCUCAAAGAUUAAGCCAUGCAUGUCUAAGUAUAAGCAAUUAUACCGUGAAACUGCGAAUGGCUCAUUAAAUCAGUUAUCGUUUAUUUGAUAAUACCUUACUACUUGGAUAACCGUGGUAAUUCUAGAGCUAAUACAUGCUGAAAAUCCCGACUUCGGAAGGGAUGUGUUUAUUAGAUAAAAAACCAAUGCCCUUCGGGGCUCCUUGGUGAUUCAUAAUAACUUUACGGAUCGCAUAGCCUUGCGCUGGCGACGGUUCAUUCAAAUUUCUGCCCUAUCAACUUUCGAUGGUAAGGUAUUGGCUUACCAUGGUUUCAACGGGUAACGGGGAAUUAGGGUUCGAUUCCGGAGAGGGAGCCUGAGAAACGGCUACCACAUCCAAGGAAGGCAGCAGGCGCGCAAAUUACCCAAUCCCGAUUCGGGGAGGUAGUGACAAUAAAUACUGAUACAGGGCUCUUUUGGGUCUUGUAAUUGGAAUGAGUACAAUUUAAACCUCUUAACGAGGAACAAUUGGAGGGCAAGUCUGGUGCCAGCAGCCGCGGUAAUUCCAGCUCCAAUAGCGUAUAUUAAAGUUGUUGCAGUUAAAAAGCUCGUAGUUGAAACUUGGGUCUGGCUGGCGGGUCCGCCUCACCGCGUGCACUCGUCCGGCCGGGCCUUCCUUCUGAAGAACCUCAUGCCCUUUACUGGGCGUGUUGGGGAAUCAGGACUUUUACUUUGAAAAAAUUAGAGUGUUCAAAGCAGGCCUUUGCUCGAAUACGUUAGCAUGGAAUAAUAAAAUAGGGCGUGCGUUUCUAUUUUGUUGGUUUCUAGAGACGCCGCAAUGAUUAACAGGAACAGUCGGGGGCAUCAGUAUUCAGUUGUCAGAGGUGAAAUUCUUGGAUUUACUGAAGACUAACUACUGCGAAAGCAUUUGCCAAGGAUGUUUUCAUUAAUCAGUGAACGAAAGUUAGGGGAUCGAAGACGAUCAGAUACCGUCGUAGUCUUAACCGUAAACUAUGCCGACUAGGGAUCGGGCGAUGUUCUUUUUCUGACUCGCUCGGCACCUUACGAGAAAUCAAAGUUUUUGGGUUCUGGGGGAUUAUGGUCGCAAGGCUGAAACUUAAAGAAAUUGACGGAAGGUCACCACCAGGCGUGGAGCCUGCGGCUUAAUUUGACUCAACACGGGGAAACUCACCAGGUUCAGAUGAAAUAAGGAUUGACAGAUUGAGAGCUCUUUCUUGAUUUUUCAGGUGGUGGUGCAUGGCCGUUCUUAGUUCGUGGGGUGACUUGUCUGCUUAAUUGCGAUAACGAGCGAGACCUUACUCUGCUAAAUAGCCAGGCUAGCUUUGGCUGGUCGCCGGCUUCUUAGAGAGAC